rnacentral:antisense_RNA from 1 species
GGGCGCUUGAGACUAUCUGUCUCUGGCGUGCCGGAGCAGAUAGAAGAAAGCCCCAAAUGAUCUUUCAAUCAAUUUGAGGCCAAUUCUUUAUGCAUCGCAACAUAAGAUUAGCCUCUUACACGCCGAAAGGCAAGGAGACGCUAACCAUG